UCGCUCCUACCGAUUGAAUGAUCCGGUGAAUUUUCAAGAUCGAGGUAAAUUCGUCCGCAAGGAUGUAAUUUACUUUGAGAAUUUAAAUAAACCUUAUCAUUUAGAGGAAGGAG
rnacentral:rRNA from 1 species